UAUGAAAGAAUCACAGUCUCUACUUCAGCUUCUGACUGCAGUUAUAAUUGUGGGAGAGCUCCCAGUCUCUCCCCCACCCCUCCAUUUUCAUCUAUUGCAGUUUCCGAACUCUAACUGCGGUUUUCUGGUCUGUGAGAAGGGAGGAGUCAGGCAAAAUCAACAUAACUCUAAAUGUAGGUUAGGUAAAUUGGAAAUAAACGCGAUCAGGCCGUAGCAAAACGGUUCUGCCUUCCGCCUGUCAGAUUCUUGCUGGGGAUCUCCACCUGAAUGGAGAACACUGAGCCCUUCCAGAAAGAGAUGUAGUUUUAAUGUUAAGUCAUCUGACUUCCUUCCAUCUCGGAGAGUGUCAAAGCAGAGGAGAAAAGGCUUUUUCAGCACAGUGAAGGAUGACAUGGUUGCCUUACUCAUGGGCUGAGGAUGAAGGGAAGACAACGCCAUUCAAACUACUGUAAGCAGAAAAAAGAUGCUGUUGGAAUAUCUUUGUCUCAUGGUUAGAUCCAAAACGAAUACGACCCAUACGCCACGAGUGAAUUUUCACAAAGGAAGGAAGAGUUUUUCUAGCUGAAUGCUGUCCUCCAGUAAGGUUUUUUCUUCAGCCCCAAACCAGCUUGCCCCAUCUUUAUUGAUCAAUUGAUUAAAUUGUUACCCUCUUUAUUACUUUAUAAAUAACUCAAGGUGGCAAACAUUCCUAAAAUUCCUUCCUCUUCCUGUUUCCCCUUCAUAGUCAGCUGGCAUCUCAUCAAAUUUUCAAAACUCAGAUUUCUGGAGGAGCUUCAUGGAGACUCUUAGGAGAUGCC